UGAUGUUGUGGACUAGGAAAUUGAGGUGCUGCUGAUGUGCAACAAAUCUUACUAUGCAGAGAUUGCUUACAAUGUCUCCUCUAAGA